UUGGAGGGCAAGUCUGGUGCCAGCAGCCGCGGUAAUUCCAGCUCCAAUAGCGUAUAUUAAAGUUGUUGCAGUUAAAAAGCUCGUAGUUGAAUUUCGGGGUUCUACCGUUGGUCGGGCUUUGUCUGUACUGGUGUGUAGAAUUUCUACCUUCUGGGGAACCAUCAUGCUAUUAAUUUAGCGUGGUGGGAAACCAGGACCUUUACCUUGAAAAAAUUAGUGUGUUCAAAGCAGGCUUAUGUCCGAAUACAUUAGCGUGGAAUAAUAGAAUAGGACGGUGGUCCUGUUUUGUUGGUUUCUGAAUCACCGUAAUGAUUAAUAGGGAUAGUUGGGGGCAUUAGUAUUCAAUUGUCAGAGGUGAAAUUCUUGGAUUUAUUGAAGACUAACUUCUGCGAAAGCAUUUGCCAAGGAUGUUUUCAUUAAUCAAGAACGAAAGUUAGGGGAUCGAAGACGAUCAGAUACCGUCGUAGUCUUAACCAUAAACUAUGCCGACUAGGGAUCGGACGAUGUUAAUUUUUCUUGACUCGUUCGGCGCCUUACGGGAAAC
rnacentral:rRNA from 1 species